ACAAAAUCAGCCGCAUACACCUUGUCUCUUCUGCCAGCGAUAGAUAUCUCUUCGGUUGUUCUGCUCAAUCCUUUCAUUAUCUAAAUUUCUAGGGUUUCAAGAUGACAAGAUCUGGUCAGCCUCACAAUAGUUCGAUUUCUGCCGGAUUCAAACCCUAUCUAAUGUUCGUCACUUUGUAUUGAUAGGGUUUGGAUCGAAUUGUUGAAUUGGUUGUCUGUCAAAUAAUCUUAAUCGAAAUUAUUUGAUAGAUUGAAGAACAGGCGAGGUCGUGGUGGUGGCCGUGGAUACGGGCAAGGUCGUGGUGGUGGCGGGUUCAAUUGAGGCUCAAGCAACAAUGAACAAUAGAGGGUUAUAUGGUGUCAUCGAGGAAUCGAGGAGUCUGAUAUUGGGAAAGGUUAUGAGAGACACGAUGGCGAUGGUUCUCGUGGUGGUCGUCAUGGCGGAUUUGCCAAUGAAGAUGUAGAGGAUGAGAUCAUCCUCGCCGUUCAUAUGAACGCCGCAGCGGGAUAGGCUAUGGGAAUGAAUCUAAACAAUACUACUUUCUAGUUCUGUAUUAUGUUCAUUGUUGGAUCAAAAACUCAGACCAUGAUAUUAAUAUUUUCUUCUGGUAUGGGGAGUAUGGGACUGCCUAAACGAAUUAAGCUCAUGUCGCUUGUCUUAGACAUGCUGAUUAUUUCUAAGCAAGAUAUUUACCAAGAGUGUGGUAUAUAUUAUGAUGUAUGUUUUAAUAACUCCAAGAGUGUGCACUUGGGCCAGAACCUGCAAGUUCUUAAUUAUAAGGCAUGUAAUCUUUUUUUUUUUUGGUGCUGGCAUAUGAUUUUUACCCAUAUUUAAACAUAUCUUUUGACAUAAUGUUGAUGCUUCAAAUGCAACUUCUUCUUGUUCAGCAGUCAACCUUUUAAAGGGGAUCAAUUUGGAAAGCCGUAACCUUGACCAAGAUGUGAAUUCAUGUGGUAAUAAUGAGAAAGCAACUGAUAAGAGAUACCAAGUUUUAGGAGUUCUUUUUCACGACUCCAUCGCCAUGCCAUGAUAAGGUUUUCUAUCUCUUUUUGGUCAUGACGACAUCCUGAUUGUUUUAUUUGCUUUUUAAUGUUAAAGUAUGAUUAAUUUGUAUGAAAAAAUCUGAUAGCAUUUAUGCUAUUGGAGAAUCAAGUCAGCUACGUUCAAGUAGACAUGGGCAAAAAGCGGUUUUAGAUUUAAAACCGAUAAAAAACGGACCGUUUUUUUUUUUAAAACCAGUUUGGCCUUAGUCCAACCCGACGGUUUGUAGACCGGUUCAUAUUCAUGAUCUUUGUAACCGGUUUAAAACCCAACCCCGAUUGUAAAAAAAAAAAAAGAUAAAAAUUGGUUUUUUGGUCCAAAACGGUUUUAAACCCGGUUCGUACCAGUACCAGUUCUCAUCUUAUAAAACCGGUUUUUGAAGAACCAGAUUUUUGCCCAAAAAAAACCGGUUCGGUUAAAAAACCAGACCAAACGAUUUGUCCACCUCCAGGUUCAAGGAAACAUUAGAAGGUUUCUUAAUUAUAUAUUGGUUUCGUGACAAAUGUUGGUUUUGUGAAAAUGUUUUCCUCUUAUAAAGAAAUAAUAUUUCCUAUCCUUUUUCUUAUGGGGUAGAGCGUUGAGCUUCCCUGCUGCCAAAGGGAUAUAGAAGAUAGAACUUACACGAGUAUAAACUUAUGUUUGUUUGACAGGAGUCAAUCACGGGUAAAGAACCAGAAGAGUGCAUGUCCUCUAAACGUACAUAAAAAAGUAAACUGAACUUGUUUGUGCCAUUAUAGUAGCUGGUUACAUACAUAAAAAAGUAAACUGAACUUUUGUUUAUCAUUUCUUUGCCAUUCGUUUGAAUUUGAUAAUUCUGUUAGUAAUUUAAUCAUGUAUAUUGAUGUAUUAAGUACCAUAUUUUCUUAUACAUGGGCUUGAGGACCCAAAUAGGAGUAGAUACAAGCUUCUUUUGAGUUCUUCUCUAAUUAUAACUUCGGCACCCCUAUCUCUUGAUUAAAUACAUGUUUAUUAAGAGUUGCAUUGAUGUUUUGCGGUUCACUUACUUUUUUUCUUAUACAGGGGCUCGAGGACCCAAAUAGGAGUAGAUACAAACUUAUAUAGUUAUAUCACAUUAUGUUCUCUCUAUAACACCAACACUUGCAUGCUCACUCACUUUUUGUUCUUUUUUUCCUAAUAGCCAAGGGUGUAGUGAACGAUCUUGUGUUCACGAUAGCAAGACCUUUUAAUUGGAUUGGCUCAAGGAUGGAUUUCAAUCCAGGAAUUGAUGGUCCCAGUGAGGAUGUUUCAAGGGUUCUAACAGCAAUGAUACACUUACUAUAGCAAUUCUUCCCAACAGCUCAUGGAUGCAAAUUAUGGUCUUAAAGCAGAGAGUAUAUCGAUUUGAAGAAAACCACCUAGAAAUAGUUCCUAGUUUGUGUAGGCAUUUUCGUUUGCAACUUUUGUAGAUAGGUUUCGGUUAGAAAUGUGUCUUUAGUAUUUCAAUUGAAAACAUACAUAUUGAUUUUUGGUUAAUUUCAUUUGAUUUUAGAUUUUCUAGA